rnacentral:lncRNA from 1 species
UUUCAGGAACUGGUAUUUAUUAUCAAAGUCAUAUUCGAUGUCAACAAGAUGCCACAACUACAAAAAAAAUUGCGCACAUUGCAAUCUCAAUGCAAACAGUCAAAUGGAACCCCAAUCAUUAAAAAAUUAAUUCAAAUUACCCCAAAAAGCAACUGAAUUUUUUAAACAUCUUUAUACAUCCAGCCAACAAAUUAAAAUGGUUAACAAGAAAAAAUACAAAUUCAGAGGUCUGGUACUGAUGUUUAAAAAAGGCAACUGCUUAAGCGUUUCUAUCAAUUCGAACAUCAAUCUCUCGGCCACUCAGCUUCAUGCCAUUCAUCAUCCGGCAGGCUCUCUCAGCCACCUCUGGAGACUCAAACUUAACCACACCGCACCCCUUGGACUUUCCGUUCUCCAUCUUGAUGUCGGCGUACAGCACGUGGCCUGGCACAGGGAGGGAAGAAGAGACCACACGCAUCAGGCAAACCCAGAGCUCAGCCUCAGUCUGGGCUCCACUCAGUCCAGAUCACCUGUUGGAUUUUGGUGACAAGAGUCAAAAAGGAGAGACCCUUGCAUAUGAAGUGAAUGCUCAGAACACCACGUAUGGCGGCGCCAGCAACUACAGCCCCCUCCACUACAUUGCCAUUGUUCUCCAAGCAUGACAACAACUUAACCUGCUGUGAAGAACCUGCAAAAUGGCUUCAAAUAUUUGUGGUUAUGCUCCAGCAAAUUACAGAGAGAGGGGACUAUGGAGACAACCUUAGAGUAGAACUCUUAAGGGUGAUUGCUGAAUAAAACCAUCUUGUCACAAGACCAUUACCAAUACAAUGGUUCUAUACUGCCCCAAUGUAAGGCAGGUAUACUCAGUGAGUAGCUUAUGGACCUAUAUGAUUAUUAUGUACCCAGGUAUGCGUCAAGCACAAAAGAAAUGGGUCUAUAAUAGAUUAAGAGUCAAAGACACACAUUAGUGCUGUUAGGGCCCACAAUUCUAGUGCUACUAAUGGCUUGGGGAGAGAUGACAUUCCACUGGCUUCUCAUGAUAAAGUUCUGAAAGAUAUUAAGUAGAAAUUCAUCAAAAUAAACAUUCCUCCCAAAGUUAGAUACAAUGGUACCUGCAAAUCUUAGUACUUGGGAGACUAAAGCAAGAUUUUGCAUUCUAGGCCAACAUGGAGCUACCUGGCAAGGUCCAGGCUCAAAAGGGAAUGACAAGACAGAAGAAAAAGAGGGACGACAGAAAGAAAAAUGGAAAGGUGUCUCACCUGUAAUCCCAGCCCUUGGGAGUUGGAGGUAGAGGAAUCAAGAGUUCAAGGUGACUAAGGAUGCAGCUCAGUGGGCAUAGUGCUUUGCCUAGCAUGCAUAAAACCCCUGGUUUGAGCCCCAGCAUUUGUACAAACCAGGCAGGGUGGCACACCUCUGUUAUCCCAGCAUUCAGGAAGUAGAAGUAAGAAGACUACAAGUUCAAGAUUAUUUUCAGCUAUAUAGUAAGGGUCCAUCUGAGUUUUAAGAGACCCAAUCUAUACUACCACUCCUAAACGCCCCGACCUCCAAAAAAAACCAACUAGAAUUUAAGGUCAUACUUGGCUACAUAAAGUCUUUGGAACCUCUCUCUCUCUCAAAAAAAAAAAAAAAAAAAAGUAAAGGAGCAGAGGGAAUUUUCUGGCAGGAAAGCACUUAUGUUCAAGGGCGCGCGCGGGGGUGGGGUGGGGGAUGGAACCAAGUUUCUAGAAUCUUUUGAAUUUGCAUUUUCUCAGAAGUAGGGAGAGCGACACAUUCCAUUCCCAGUUUUUGGAAUAUCUAGUUACAAUAUUGACUGUGGUGAAAAUUACAAUUCAGAGGAUCAUAGAAACAGACAAGAAGGUUGGCUUUGACUCUUUACUGCUUAUCCUAAAGAAUCAGGAAAAGCACGAAGAACAUUG